CGGGGAGGAGCCCUGCGGAGGGGUGUCGCGCGCUCGGCCGGUGGGAAGGAGCGAGCCGGGGCCGGCGCGGCCGCGGGGGCGGGGGCGGGGGCGGGGGCGGGGGCGGGGGAGGCGCGGGGGGCGGGGCGGAGGCGGCGGAGCCCCCGGGAUCCACUCGCCCGGCGCCGGCCCCCGCACUCGGAGCCGCGGCCGCCGCCCGCCCCGCCGCCAGCUCGGGGCGGAAACUUCCUCGGGUCCCGCGCUCCGAGGAGAGCGCGCCCCGGGCCCGGCCUCCCUCCCCGCCCGCCGAGCUCGGGGGUCCCGGCGCCGAGCAGGGCACGCGCUGCCGAGGCCGGGGCCGCCGGGGCAGGGGGCGCUCCCGGGCCCCGCGGAGGCUGCCCGCGCGAGUGGGGACGAGCCGGCGCCCGGCGGGACCCCCGGAGCGCAGCGCAGCGCAGCGGAGCGAGGGAGGGAGGGGGGGAGGGGGGUCCGCGCCUGCAGCCCCGCGCCCGGCGGCGGCCGAAGACUGGGGCGCUCGCUGAGAGGAGCAGGCGGGGUCCCCCGGGCGCCCCCGGAGGCCGGGCCCCCGACCGCGCGCAGCCGGGCCGAGCCGAGCCGAGCCGAGCCGAGCCGAGCCGAGCGGCCACCGGAGCCGCGGGCCCGCGGGGCGGCGGGACAUGCAGGUGUCUUGGGGCCUGGCCGGUAGCAGGUGCGCAAGAUCAUAGAUGAGAGGAAUGAUGAAAAGGCGUGUGGUCUAUUGCCUUGUCCUAAAAUGGUGUUUCUGGACCUGAUAACUCUUGGUUGAGGAAGGCUGUCCUGUGCAUCGUGGACUGUUUAGCAGCAUCUCUGACCUCUACCCCCCAGAUGCCAGAGGCACCCCCCCCACCUAGGAGUGGUAAGUAAAAGUGUCGCUAGACAUUGCCAGGUGUUGGGUGGGGGCAAUGUCUUCCCUGACUAAGCACCACUGUUCUAAAGCAUUUCUAUUAUUUCCCUUGUUUUUGUCUCCCCUAAAUCCUUUAGAAUUGUUAUCUGUCUUGCUUCCUAGUUCUGUACCACUGCCUGAGUGCGA
rnacentral:lncRNA from 1 species